rnacentral:rRNA from 1 species
UGCGACCUACGGGGGGCAGCAGUGGGGGAUAUUGCACAAUGGGGGAAACCCUGAUGCAGCAACGCCGCGUGAGUGAAGAAGGUCUUCGGAUUGUAAAGCUCUGUUCUUGGUGAAGAUAAUGACGGUAGCCAAGGAGAAAGCUCCGGCUAACUACGUGCCAGCAGCCGCGGUAAUACGUAGGGAGGGAGCGUUGUCCGGAUUUACUGGGUGUAAAGGGGGCGCAGGCGGCUCUGCAAGUCAGGCGUGAAAGCUAGUGGCUCAACCGCUAAAUUGCGCUUGAAACUG